UUGCACGAUGCACCCCGGGCUUCUCUGAUGUUCUACGUGAAGUUGAUAGCCCCAUUGCUCGUGCUAGAGUGGUGCCGUUUAGUGUUGCAGGUUGGCCUUGCUCUUUUCCACGGCUGAUCUGUGUCAAAAUAACGGCGAGAUUC